rnacentral:lncRNA from 1 species
AUGCAGGGAGCCCGACGUGGGACUAGAUCCUGGGACUCGAUCCCCUGGGUCUCAAUCCUGGGUCUGGAUCCCCUGGGACUCGAUCCUGGGUCUGGAUCCCCUGGGACUCGAUCCCGGGUCUGGAUCCUGGGUCUCGAUCCCCUGGGUCUGGAUCCUGGGUCUCGAUCCCCUGGGACUCGAUCCUGGGUCUCGAUCCCGGGUCUGGAUCCUGGGUCUCGAUCUCCUGGGACUCGAUCCUGGGUCUCCGGGGUCACACCCGGGGCCGAAGGCAGACGCUCUCCCGCGGAGCCACGCAGGGGUCCCCUAACCACGAGAUUUUCAAGAGCGCGGUGUCCCGAUGGCUUGACCUCAGUGCCGUCAUGCGGCCUGGCCUUUUGUCCGUGCUGCACUCUCCUACUUUAUCUCCUACUCAUCAACCCAGACAGACAUAGGGGCAAACGGCCACGAGGAUGUCAAGACCCUGGGAGGUAUUUGUUAAUGGCCCACCUAGAAGGCAUCUUCGGCGGUUCCCGGUGGGACGCUGGGCUGGCACGGAGCCGGCGGGAGGUUUGUUUCGAUUGCGGGCAAACCCCGCCCCCCGCGCCCAAUUCCCCGCUUUUAACUUUCCUUCCCGCGGCCCCCGAGGCCGCGAAGACCAGUUCCGUGGUCCCUCCCACCGCUUCGGGCCGCGGCGGCCGCGAGAACACAGGAAGGAAGCGCCCACCCCCGGACCCCGAGGUCCCGCCGCACCUCCGCGCUCGCCCGAUGCAUUGUGGGCGCUGUAGUCCGGCCGGGACCCGUUGGCGACUACAAGUCCCGUGA